GAGUUUGAUCCUGGCUCAGAACGAACGCUGGCGGCAGGCUUAACACAUGCAAGUCGAACGAACUCUUCGGAGUUAGUGGCAGACGGGUGAGUAACGCGUGGGAACCUACCUUUAGGUACGGAACAACAGUUGGAAACGACUGCUAAUACCGUAUGUGCCCUAUGGGGGAAAGAUUUAUCGCCUAAGGAUGGGCCCGCGUUGGAUUAGCUAGUUGGUGGGGUAAAGGCCUACCAAGGCGACGAUCCAUAGCUGGUCUGAGAGGAUGAUCAGCCACACUGGGACUGAGACACGGCCCAGACUCCUACGGGAGGCAGCAGUGGGGAAUAUUGGACAAUGGGCGCAAGCCUGAUCCAGCCAUGCCGCGUGAGUGAUGAAGGCCCUAGGGUUGUAAAGCUCUUUCAGCGAGGAGGAUAAUGACGUUACUCGCAGAAGAAGCCCCGGCUAACUUCGUGCCAGCAGCCGCGGUAAUACGAAGGGGGCUAGCGUUGUUCGGAAUCACUG
rnacentral:rRNA from 1 species